rnacentral:lncRNA from 1 species
CCUAUACUGAUUAUACAAAAUGUAAAGAAUAGUAACUCAGUAUCUUUAAGAGUUUGAAAGCUAACUCAUAAUUUUAAUAAACAGAAAACAAAAUUCUAGUUUUACAUCAAUAUUUGGUAGUAUAAUAAUCUUGAUCAAUCUAUCAGUGUAUCUUCAAGUUCACUUAGUCUUUCUUCUUUCAGUUCAAAUCUGCUACUGAGAUGCAAUUGUUAUGGUGUCAGAGUCUAUUGUGCCAUAGGAAACACCUAAAUGUCCAUAGAAGCAGAUCAUUUAAGUUAACGUUACUAGGAAGACAAGAGUAUCUACUGCCUAGGUCCUCAUCUCCCAACGUUUUCUUCUCCAUGAACACAAAAUGGUAAAGAACAAAAUUAAAUGACACAAAACUCAUGUCCUAAGAAUAAUUUGAAGACAUAGAAUGUGUAAAUUCCAAAUAACCCUAAGUAAAAAAAGGAAUAAAACCAUUUCUAAUCCAUAAUCUCUCAUGCUCCUGUUCAACUGUCAUUGGCCCAUCACUUUGCAGCAAACAAAGUCAGAUCAA